UACAACGAAACUGCGAAUGGCUCGGUAAAACAGCAAUAAUUUAUUCGGGGGUAACUGCUACUUGGAUAACCGUAGUAAAGCUAGAGCUAAUACGUGCUACAAAGGCGAGCUUCGCUCGUGGUGCUAAGUAUUAGGUACAAGCCAAUUUUUUUGGUGAUUCAUACUUAUUUUCUGAUCGCACUCUGUGCGACGCCCCGAAUAAAUUUCUGACCUAUCAACUAUGAUGGUAAGGUAGUGUCUUACCAUGGUUGUGACGGGUAACGGACCGUGGGUGCGGGAUUCCGGAGAGGGAGCCUGAGAAACGGCUACCACAUCCAAGGAAGGCAGCAGGCGCGCAACUUACCCAAUCCGAACUUCGGGAGGUAGUGACAAAAAAUAUCAAUAGGGGGACCAAUGGUCUUCCUAAUUGGAAUGAAAACAAUCUAAACACCUUAUUGAGGAACCAGCAGAGGGCAAGUCUGGUGCCAGCAGCCGCGGUAAUUCCAGCUCUGUAAGCGUAUACCAAAGUUGUUGCAGUUAAAACGCUCGUAGUCGAACUUUGGCGCUAGUUACUGAGACUCCUACUGGACGUUGACGUAUCUACGCCUUUGUGGAGGGGGGUGCGGUGUUGCUUAAUUGUACUGCUGCAUUUCCGCCACUUUUUACUGUGAAAAAAUUAGAGUGUUCAAAGCGAGCGUUUGCCAUGAAUACAUUAGCAUGGAAUAAUAGAAUAGGACCUGGUCCUGUUUUAUUGGUUUGUCAGUAUCAGGUAAUGAUUAACAGGGACGGUCGGGGGCAUUUGUAUUCCAGCGCUAGAGGUGAAAUUCUUGGAUUGCUGGAAGACAAACAGCUGCGAAAGCGUCUGCCAAGGACGUUUUCAUUGAUCAAGAACGAAAGUAAGGGGAUCGAAGACGAUCAGAUACCGUCGUAGUCUUUACUAUAAACUUUGAGAACUAGGACAUCGGACGUGGCCUUAUUGGUACGUUCGGCACCUUCCGGGAAACCAAAGUGUUUGCUUUCUGGGGGGAGUAUGGUCGCAAGUCUGAAACUUAAAGGAAUUGACGGAAGGGCAUCACCGGGUGUGGAGCCUGCGGCUUAAUUUGACUCAACACGGGAAAACUUACCAGGUCCAGACAUAGUAAGGAUUGACAGAUUGAGAGCUCUUUCUUGAUUCUAUGGUUGGUG
rnacentral:rRNA from 1 species